rnacentral:rRNA from 1 species
AUUGAACGCUGGCGGUAGGCUUAACACAUGCAAGUCGAGCGGGGUGAUGGUGCUUGCACUAUCACUUAGCGGAGGACGGGUGAGUAAUGCUUAGGGAUCUGCCUAUUAGUGGGGGACAACAUCUCGACAGGGAUGCUACUACCGCAUACGUCCUACGGGAGAAAGCAGGGGAUCACUUUUGACCUUGCGCUAAUAGAUGAGCCUAAGUCGGAUUAGCGAGUUGGUGGGGGAAAGGCCUACCAAGGCGACGAUCUGUAGCGGCACUGAGAGGAUGGGCCGCCACACUGGGAAUGAGGAACGGCCACGGCGACUACGGGAGGCAGCAGUGGGGAAUAUUGGACAAUGGGAGGAACCGUGAUCCAGCGAUGCCGCGUGUGUGAAGAAGGCCUUAAGGUUGUACAGCACUUUAAGCGAGGAGGAGGCUCUUUUGGUUAAUACCCAAGAUGAGUGGACGUUACUCGCAGAAUAAGCACCGGCUAACUCUGUGCCAGCCGCCGCAGUAA